rnacentral:lncRNA from 1 species
GUGGAGACAGGUGGAGGUAGUGGGAUAUAUGUCGCUGUCAGCUUGCUCCGAUUACCAUUACAUCGGAUGCUUUGAUUGCGGUGGGUGGUGUGGAGUGGAGUGGAUCAGAACCUGAAUCCAAGCGCAGCAAGAAAGGAUGGGAUUGGGAUGGCGGGUAUGGAGGAGCUGCUGACGCUGCUGUUCAACGCGCUGCUGCUGGUGUUCGUGGUGAAGCUCUUGCUGGCCUUGUUCAACACCAAGAUCAUCGUCAUCCUCCUCUACAUCCUCGUCCUCCUCUUCGCCAUGCUCCUCUCCGGCAGAUUUCCCGGUUGAUAUUCCAUAUCCAGGUAUCCACGCCAACAUCUUUCUCCUCUUUUUUCAGUUGUUCUUGUUUGUAUAUUUGGCAUAGAAUGAAUGAGUGGAGUGGAGCCACCACUUGAUAUAGGAGUACUCCUAUUGAUUGAUUUAUGGGUUGGAUUGGAUAUAAAGGGUGUUAGUAUUGAUUUAUCUAUGGGUUGAGUUGGAUUGGAUUGGAUUGGAUUAAAAAAAGAGAGAGAGGUGGACGAGGAGGAGGAAGAAGAGAAAAGGAACGCCGCCGCCGAUGGAAUGGGAUUGGGAACCCCUCCCAGUCCCAUAAGGGAGGCGGAGACCUUUGUUCCCCUGUGCCUGCCUGUCUCUGUGCCCGCCUCUACUGCCCUUCCGUUGCACAGCACAGGCACAGCCACCGUGUGUGUGUGCGUGUGCGUGUGGUGGCGCCGGCGGCCGGCCUCACUGCCGGAACUCGGAAGGGGAGGGGAUCCGCGGCUGCAUCUAUCUCCCCGACGAUCUCCAUCCGUCCACCCUCCACACCGGCGCCGGCCGUUGCCAUUGCGAGCGUUUCUGAGGAUGGCCUCUUCCUGCUUCCCCUUUGCUGCCCAACGCAGAAAUCCGCCCAAUGUGUAUGAUUCCUUCCUUCCUUCCUUCCAUCGCUAUGUAUAUUGCUCCAAUAUAAAUCUAGCCAGUUCUUUAUUCUCCUCCUCCUCCUCCUACUGGUACCUAUCUAUCCCAAGGAAAGGAAGACGGAAUCACGGAAUUCCUUUAUUUUUCCUUUCCCUCCCAGAAAAACAAGCAAGCUCUUGUCUUGUCUUGUGUAGAUGAUGAUCUAAUCUGACUUCAGUUAUAUUAUACAUUAAUUAUAUACUGUGUUUAUUCUGAAUUGAAUUUUCAUUUCUGCAGGUUGAGUAGGGAACCCAAGCUUCGUCCCAACAUACGGAAACUCUCCAUUUUUCUGUGGACUCUAGUCUAACUGUUGCGCCAUUGAUUCAGGUUAGUAACGUGUUUUUGGGUCAAACUGUCUAUGAGUACCAAUUUAUAUUACAUUACUAGUCCAUGUAUGCCCGUGUGAUAUGUAGCCCUCACGCACACAGUUUCACUGAUUCUUUGGUAAAAGUUUUCUUUUUAACUGAAUGUUUACGUAAAUGUAGGCAUAGCAUAAACAAGAGAAAAUAAGGUCCCCAAGCACAAACAUUGACCAUGCGGUUGGUUCUUCCCACCCCCCACUAGCGUAAAUGCUAUUAGUUAAACUAUUCAAGCGCGCACUAAUCUUCCAACCACCAAACCAGGUAUAACCAGCAGACUGUAAACUGCUUAUGACACUUGGAGCAGUCCUGGAAUAAAGCCACCAACCACUUUGGCAGCAACAGCUUACGAAUAUGUUUGAUUAGUUAAUUUGUUCGUAGGCACUUGGUCUAUAAAAAUAAAAGGGCAGCCUAAAAAAUGAGUCCUAGAUUAGGAAAGUAAGGGAGAAACAAAAUAUAAUCCACUUAAUUAGGUUACUCAGAGCCUCCUCCUUGACCAGGUUUACUGUCAAACAUACCAAUAUGGCAGAGUCGCAAAGCCAGCUGUUUUAUGCAAACCUGAAGAUUAUGCUUACCCUAGCCAAUCGAUCUACCACAUCAUCACUCUUGUCAACAGCACUAACAAAUAGGGGCAGAGUCACAAAGCCAGCUGUUUUAGGCUCCUAUGCCCAUGCAGAAUCAUUGCUAGGUAGGGAAAUGUAUAACUAAACCACAGAAUUCUGUAUUCUUUCUGAAUGUUUUAUAUCAUUUCUCAUGCUUGAUACAAUUCUGUUAGUUUGAUUUUUUUUUCCUGCGGUAGAGGACCUGAUUUAUUGUCUACUGAGUUCUCUGUUGCACUCGAAAUAUGCUUACUGGAUGGUAGAAAAGGAGCAACUGACGUGUGGAGCAUGUUGAUUGUACUUGCGAGCUAAGAAGAGUUGUUUUUUAUCUAAAAAAAAGAAACAGUUGUUUAGCUGUUCGCUUGUGCUUAUUUGCCGAAUCUGUCAGCCAUUCAGUAAUGUUUUUCUCUCACAACAAAUCAGCGAACAGUACUUUCAGCCAUGGCUUAUCAGCCAAGCGAACUUGAGUGCCGGCAUGGUUUGAGACUCGGUGGGAAACAACUCCUUACUAGUUUAUGCUGGAUUGCCUACCUGCCAGCAGCUGUUUGACCGUUCUUAAAUUCCCUGGUUUAAGCAAAGAUCCCACUUAGAGAAGCAAAGGUGAUUUAAGCUAAAAACUAUGCUGGUGACCUGACCAAUUGCAGAUCUUUUUCUUGAGGUCGUCUUCUUGUUUUUAUUCCAGAAUUCUUUACUAAGCCAAGGAUAUGGACUCUCAUUGUGUCAUUUGUUGACUUGUUUUUUUUUCUUUUUCUAGACAAUUUAGAAUUAAUGGUAGUUCUUUCCAGUAACACUGUUAACAUUGCAUUGACAUGUUUAUGGCUUUAUCCAAUCCAAUGAAUCAGAUUCAGGGGCUCCAAUUGAUUUAUCGUGUCUAGUUGUCAUUGAAUGAAGGAAAUCAAAACUUUUGCCGACUCUAGAUGAUCUAUAGGAACCCUGCUAUUAGUUAUACACUCCAGUUGUUAUGCUUGGUGAUUUUAGACUAUUAUUUUUUUUUAAAAAAAAACUAGGACUAGAUGACUUGUACAGAUGUAGUACAUUCUAACGAUCCAAUUGCGGAUUUAGAACUGCUGAAGCGUUGAACCUGAAUUAAAAUAAACAUUCCCUUGUUCCGUGAAGCUUCGUAUACAUUGCUUUUGUUUCUGAUGAGCUGCACUAUUUGUUUAUUGUGUUGUACUAGGUUGGCGAAGGGGAGGAGUAGCUUGUAGAUGCAACCUCGGAGGAAGUAUGGGAAUCAAUCUGAGGUGAGCGUGGCUGCAAUGCCGCUUGGCUGUCAGUUAACAAGCAUAUGGUCAGCAGGUAGGAGUAUAUACUACAUGGGUUAACCAAAAACAAAUCAGCCGAAUCUGCCAGUCAUUCUUCAGCAGUGUUUUUCUCCAUGGCUUAUCAGCCAAAAGAACAAGAGGGUUUGAUCACUUUGGCAGUGACUGUCGCCAAGCAUUUCAGUUCUUUUCAGUCAGCGCUGCAUGCAAUUCCAGUUCAUCUGCUAUCUCCCAGAUGGCUGGAUUGAGAGACGGACGGCCCCCUUCUUGGAUUUUUUUUUUUGGGGGGUUUGUUGGUGGAAAGAGCAUUGGACUGGUGGCGA